CGCGCCGCCUGGCCCGGAUGGGUGGGCGGCGCUCGGCUUCCUGGGCCGCGCGCCCCGGCUGCCUCCUCCCGCCGACUCCGCCCCCGGCCCCCAGGUCACUCCUCUCUCCAAGUUGUCGUCCCGCUCUCCCCGGGCUUCCGGGCCCCCCACGACCCUCGCUCGGCCGCCCCGCGAGUGUCCCGCCGGCCGGCCGCCCGCGGUCCCCAGGUCGUGCGCCCGGCUCCUCCCCGCCCGCCUGGCCCCGCCCGUGGCGGGAAGCAGCUCUGCCCAGCGCCUACUGUCUGUGGUGGGAGCACCUUGGCUUCAGACAUCUCCACAUUCCCAGUGCCCAGAACAGGGCCUGGUACCUACAGAGUGCUCACUGGAAACUGGCCGCCCUCCAGUCCCUGAAGGAGGGUCUGGCAGGCCCCAUGGAGGCUGGAGGAACUGAGAUGGAACCCAGCAGCUGCUCCCAGCUGGGAGCCCACCUGAGUGGAAUCCUGGCCCCAGGAUCAAAGGCUCAGGUCUGGGUGAGGGGAUCCCUCCCCACCUCCUUUCCCUCCCAGGAAGGCUUCUGGCCAGGGAUCCUGGGGAGGGUGUGGGGAAGCCCUGGUGAGCCGAGUGCAUAUUGUGGGCCUGGGUUUGGAUGUCGGGGUUCUGGUCCUUCCCUUCCACCUUUCCCGCUAGCCAGAUCCUAGAACUUCCUCGUGGUUCAGUUUUCUUGUCUCUGCAAUGGGCACAACCUGUUGGGCACAGCCUUGGGAAGCUGAAGAUUCCCAGGCUGGCAGCCUGACCUCAGGUGCCAGCUCUCCCACCCUGGGGAAGUCUCUGGACUCCACCAUGCUCCUGCCCUCAGCUAGCUCAACCUCCAGCCCAAACCACAUUGGACUUGGGCUUGUCCAGCUACUCAUCUGGUCUGAAGGUUCCUGAGGGUGAGGCCUGGCUUGGUCUAGGAGGGGACCUGUCCACAUGGACUUAGCUGCAGCUUCUGUGGAAACAGCCAGCAUCGUAUCAGGCCGUCCCCUCUAGCCAGGGAUCCAGGUUCCCCUCUAGCCUGACCCAGGAGACUUCUGGUUCUGACCUGGCCUGGGCUGCUGUACCUCUUGACUGGACGACCGGUGUGUUUUAGGGCCUCUCAUGUCACACGGGGCUGUUGAGUCAUAGAAGGCUGGAAGCCCCAGAGCUUGGGUCUGAAGCUGUCCUUGGAAAGAUGUUGUGAUCAGAUGCGGUUUCCAUCAGUGAAUGCUGGGAUCACAGGGAUUGUGGAAUUUUUAGAAAUUGCAGGUGUGGGAUCUGGGGAUAUGGCUCAGGUGGUAGAGUGUUGGCCUCACAUGCACAAGUCCCUGGGUUCAAUCCCCAGCACCACAAAAACAAAACAAAAAGAAAUGCAGGUGGGGAAAGGCCUCAGAGGUCACCAGCUGACCCCUCCCACGUCCUUUCCUAACCAAGGGGCCUGUGACUUACCUGGCUCUACACCAGGUUGUGUCUCCUCCUGGGGGGAGUCCUGGCACUCAUCUGGCCCAUGCAGAAUCCCUGGGAGCCCAGCAGUGUGUGUAGUCCUGGGAGCCCUGUGGACAUAGUCCACCCAAAUGGCAAGAGAGGACCUGGCAUCAACCACUGUGAGGAUAGAGCUGUAGCGGGUCAUGGAGCUGGUCUGAGGCCAUCUUGCCCAAGAUGGUUCACCCCCUGCCUCGGUGUCCCCAUGGUAAGAUGGACUAUGGGGGCUGGGAGGCUUAAACAGAUUAAUGUGGAAAAUGCUUAGAAAAGUGCCUGGGCCAUUUCUGGUUUCCUUUGUUAUCCAGCCCACCGAAAGCCCCGAGUGGAAGGAGCCCUCACCCCACUCCUCCUAGGUCGCCCUUGAGAUGAGUCUGUUGCCUCCCACAGUCCUUAGCACAUCCUCCAGUGAGCUUUGUCUUUGUCCCCAUUUUACAGAUGAGAUUGCUGCUACUGGCCCAGGGCCCCUUGCUGUCUGAGUGGUAGAGGGCAGAUGUCAGCCCCAAAGCCCACAGUUGCUUUCCUUUCCGUGGUGGCAACGCCUGGAAACUCCAUUAGUACUGGCCCUCGCCCCUGCUUCAACCUGUGGCCACUUGGAGGGGCCCCGCGGUCUUGGCACGGAUUUUCCUGCACCAACAAAUGUGUGACAGAGAGGUGUCUGUGGGGAGGCAGGGUGCAGGCGGGGCAGCGGCUGCUGUGAGGUCGGCAGUGGCGGGGGCAGCAUCCCAUCUGAGACACUUGUACAAAUUGCUAGUUUGUGGUCAGCCUGGCACUGCGCUGUGUGGCCUCUGCCCAGAGCAGCUGGGCACCAGUGUGCUCUCUGGGAUUCUAGAACUCCUUUGCCCUCGCCCCCAGCCAAAGGACUUUCCAGGAACCCUCAGGUGGGGCUGAGGCACAAGGCCUCCCAUCAGUAGCCCCGGGAUAGUGUGUGCCCUUGCCCCCGGCUCCAGAGGACCAAAGUCAGGGCUGACAGAGGCUGGAGGAGCAGGCUCCGGGGCCGGGAGUGCCCUGCGCCUGGUGGCCAGCUCCUCUCUAGACUGUUGGUGCAGACCCCAGGUUCUGCAUGUGUGACCUCCAGAGCUGGCCCAAGCCUCAGUUCCUGUCUUCCCAGGGGAGUUGAGACUUCAUGGAGGGGCUGCAGGUGUGGCCUCGGGCCAGGCUGGCCUCCUGGGUCCUGCGCCCUGGCUAUGAGGCUGCGGAGACUGAGGGAGCGGGGGAGGGCUCCCUGUUGCUCUUGGCAUCUGAACAGGUGAGCAGUAUGCCGUGGUUACCAAAACACUAACUGCUGCCCUGGCCUAACGGUGGCCAGAGUGUGGCUUCCAUGUCGGGAAGUCCCAUGGUCUUGGCAUGGUGGUGGGGGUCACCCUUCAGGAGAAGAGCUGCUUCCCCUGAGCACCCUGCCCAGUCCAACUCCAGGCCUGCCUGAAGCCACACAGGGCCUUCCAGGCGGUGGGGACAAGAGCCCCUCCUCUGGUCAGAACCUGCUGGGACCCUCAGACUGCUAUUAGCCCAUGUCCUGCCCUGCCCCACCCCUAGGGUGCCAGCGUGAGCUGAAGACCGGGCCUGCCUUGCACUGGGGCACCCCAACAAGACUGGCCUGGUGGGCAGCAAUGGGUGGACAAGGACAGGAGGGCAGAGGGUCUGAGGUUGAAGGGAUUCCCUGUCCCUUAACUGCCUGGGUCCUUUGGCUCAGGGACUCUUCUGAAGGGCCUUUAGGCCCAGUGGGUCCCUCCCACCUUUUCAAACAAGAGACCUCAGGGCCAGAAAGGGAAGCACGUCCAGUAGUCACACGGCAGGCCAGCACCAGCACAGCAGCUGGAACCAGCCCCAACUCUAAGCCCACCAUGCUGUCUCCAAGCCAACCUGAAGCCCUUCAGGGACAGUAUGAUUGAGAUGUGACCCUGAGACUCCAGGUGGGCACCUUCCAACUGCGGUUACUUUGGAGGUGUUGGAGCAUUCAGGGAAGGGCAGCAGGAUGAGAUCACACGGCCCUGUUCAGGUGGGACACAGGCACGAGUCACACUGUGGAGAUCUGAUAGGGAAGAGGCCCCAGUGGGGACGUGUCUCCUGUCACCCUGCACCACCAGCGUGGACCUGGCUGUUCUCUGUGGACAGGGCUCAGCAGCCAAGUUCAAACCAGGAAAACACUGGGUUCCACAAAGUAAAACUGGUUUCUUAAAUAAAUGUGGGAUCUCCCAGGUCCUUAGGGAGUGUGUCUGCUGAGAGGUGAUGGCCAGCCUCCCCUUCACGAGAGAACCCCGGCUCAGGAUGGCAGGCGGGGCUGGGGUCUCCUCACCUCGUGGCCUCUGCCUGCUCGGGGUCUGCACCCUGGCCACCCUGGGUGGGGGUAAGCUGCAGCUGGGGAAUGGCCUUCUGCUGGGGUUCCAGGCCCAUCUCUGCACAGACCAUGGGCCUAGGGGAGCUGGGGCUCAGGGUCCCUCCAGGGCGGUGUGGCCCUGUGGGCUGAGCUCAGGAGGAGGAAGUGCUGAGGGCAGUCCCCCCUUCACAUCGGACUCCCCUACAGGCAGCAGCUCCCAGCAGCCCCACCCCCCACCGCUGGGUGGGACGCUCUGGUGGCUCAGCAGCCACAGGCCCCUGAGCAGGGCCUCUUCUGGGCAAGGGGGGAUGGGGGGGACGAUGACACCAUGGCUGACCUCCCAAGAUGGUGACAGAGUUUCACAGGCAGCCCCACCCAGGACCCCUCCUCUCUCCAUCAGCCUCAGUAGGGCCAAGACAGCGGCUGGUCCAGGAACAAGGACGUUUUAUUUUCAUAAAUACUUGCGCCCCCGCCCCCGCCGCCUCCACUGCUGACCGUGGGCAGAUGGGUGGCCAGGCGUGAGGCGCCCCGGGAGGCCCAGCACAGACGAAUUGAGAGCUCCGGGAGCCCUGCCUGGGCCACCCUCCGGCCUCACCCCGGGCUCCCACAGUCCCUCUAGAGACCUCGCAGUGAAGAGAGGCCCCCAGGAGGCAGGGCCUGGGCUGCAGCCACCGGCUACUCCGAAAGAAAAGCAAAGGAGCCAAACCACACAGCAGAGUGCAAACAGUGGGGGCACGGGUGUCCCCCAGUCACUGGGUUCCUAUGAGGAGGCCUGGCUGGUCCCCAGCUCCAGCCUGACCUCCCGUUUAUGGCUGGGCCUUCCCAUAAGGCAUGAGACAGGUGGGGAAGACCCCACCCGGGCUGGGGUCAGGGCUGGGCCCGAUGGCCAGGCUUCUUCCCUUAGACCCAAGUCCUUCCAUGGCUGGGCAGCCCUCCCUGCUCCAGGACCCCACCAGUUUUGGGGGACCCUGGUGGUGCAAACCCAGGCCCAACCUCCCGCUGGGUUUGGCUCAGCAGGUGGGGAGGCAAAGCAGGAGGGGAAGAGUCACCUGGGGCCACAGGGUGGGGGGAGAUGCACCAGGCCAGGGGCACAUGGCCACGGAGAACAGAGGGUGUCCAGGCCACCACAGCCUCUCCCCAGGCUGCACAGCGCUGGCCCCUGUCCUCUCCUCUCCCCAGCCCCUCUGUUCUAGAGGCUGCCCCAGGUCUCAGGCGGGGGGAACUGGUCCACGUCGCCCAUCUCGCUGUAGGUCUGGUCGCCCAUGGUGAAGAUGAGCUUGUAGCGCAGGCGGACCUUCUCCUGGGCAGAUGGCGAAGGCGGAGGGUUAGGGGAGGAGAGGUGGCCCCCGCCCACAGCCCGGCCCGGCUCAGCUGGGCCCUUCACCUUCUGGGGGUUGGCGAGGAGCAGGACCUGAGUGAUGGCUGAGGGGUGGACAACGGGGUUGAACGCCGGCAGCUCCGUCCCUGAGGGGGGCUGCAGCUUCACCUUCAUGACCUGUGGCAGGAGGGCAGACGGCACAGCUAGCCCCGGUCACCUCCCAUGGCCCGAGGAACCAGGCCAGCUCCCCGCUGAGGGACUCUGUCCUUUGGCUCCCUUUUACCCCCAGCAAAGAAGGGAGACCUUGUCCCUGCCUGUCCUCAGGCAGCGGGCUCCCCAGCCCAGCCCUGCAGCGUCACCUUGGGCACCGCUGACUGGAACACGAUGUUGCGGAUGGGCUGGGGGGCAGUGCUGAGCAUGGAUACCACCACCACCAACACGUCAGCUCGGCCAGGCAGCGGGUCGCGGGCAAAGUGGAAGAGGACGCGGAAGCCAUGCUGGUCAUACACGGUCACGGGCAAGAUGCUGCCUGUGGAGAGAAGGGGGGACGAUGGGCUCCCCAGUGAGCGAACCCCUCACCCAGCCUGCCUCCGCCGGGGCAGCAGUGCGCCUGGUCCGCAGACAGGGGCAGGACGCCCCUGCAGCAGAGCCCCUGUGGCUCCCAGCUGGGGCGAAGGGCUGUGCUGAGUUUGGGUCACACACUCACUGUGACCCCGCUACUCCCCUUCUCUGAGCUGUCUUCCUACUGGUAAGACAGGGACAUGGAGGGCGUGAUACCCUGGGUCACAGUGAGCUCAUGGAGACGACCAGGAUGAGAGGACAGCUAGCCCUCGUGUCUGCUUAGGACCUGGUGCUGGGCAGUGGCCUCCAAGUGCUCCUGGGGGACAUGUCCCAGGCUUGGACCUGCAUUUUUAUUACAGUUUGGUUUCAUAAUCUUGGGGCCCAAACCUUUGUAUCCCGACUCCUGCCUUCCUGGGGAGCCGGGCCAGGGUCUGUCUCCCAGGAGCCCCAGCUGCAGGACCUGGGCUCACGCAGCAGCUUUGCAACUGCUCUGGGCUCCAGGAGGAAAGGCCUGCUCAGUGCUCCCCACUGAGGUGGCCAAUGGCAGGGCCCAGGGGGCAGCCACUGACCUGGCCCGGCCUCCCCCUCCCACCCUGCCCCACUCACUGGGUUUGAUGGACUCCAGGGGCACAGUGAUGUUGGCCAGUGAGAGCUCAGUGGGCAGGGGCUGCUGUGGAGGCCCAGGGGGCUCUGGGGACACGGCGUGGAGGAGGCUGGUGGCACUGGGGCUGGGUGAGCUGCUCUUAUUCUGCAGGUCCCGGAGUGUGAGCCGGGGGGCUGGCUGCUGCUUCUCCCUUAUUGGGGAACAGUGUGUUAAAAGUGACUCUUUGGUGGUCAGGAGAUCAGGGGACUAGGAAAGGCUGGGCUUCCUGGCCCAUCCCCACACAUCACUCUCUCUCUGGCCGUCGGUCACCUCGCCAGUAGAAUGGCCAGCUCCUGUUCCCCCGGCACCCCCCCACAACUGCCCACUUUAGCUCUGUGUCCUUCCAGUUGCUGGGGACUUCUGGGGACAUGUGAGUGGGCACAGAUUCUCUCCAUAAACUCCACUCUGGAACCUUCA